rnacentral:rRNA from 1 species
CCUACGGGAGGCAGCAGUGAGGAAUAUUGGUCAAUGGCCGGAAGCCUGAACCAGCCAAGCCGCGUGAGGGAGGAAUGCCCUACGGGUCGUAAACCUCUUUUACCGGGGAACAAAGGGCGGCACUCGUCCCUUCCUGGGGGUACCCGAUGAAUAAGCAUCGGCUAACUCCGUGCAAGCAGCCGCGGUAAUACGGAGAAUGCGAGCGUUAUCCGGAUUCAUGGGGUUUAAGGGGGGCGAGGGCGGGCUUUUAAGCCGGCGGUGAAAUCGCGGGGCUCACCCCCGCAGUGCCGUCGGAACUGGGGGCCUUGAGUGCGGUGGAGGCAUGCGGAAUGCGUGGUGUAGCGGUGAAAUGCAUAGAUAUCGCGCAGAACCCCGAUUGCGAAGGCAGCUUGCCGUGCCGCCACUGACGCUGAGGCACGAAAGCGCGGGGAUCGAACAGGAUUAGAUACCCGAGUAGUC